UAUUGGACAAUGGGGGAAACCCUGAUCCAGCAAUGCCGCGUGUGUGAAGAAGGCCUGAGGGUUGUAAAGCACUUUCAGUGGGCAGGCGGGUUGACAGGUUAAGAGCUAGUUAACUGGGCGUUACCCACAGAAGAAGCACCGGCUAACUCCGUGCCAGCAGCCGCGGUAAUACGGAGGGUGCGAGCGUUAAUCGGAAUUACUGGGCGUAAAGGGUGCGUAGGCUGUUUUGUAAGUCAGAUGUGAAAUCCCCGAGCUCAACUUGGGAACUGCGUUUGAAACUACAAGACUAGAAUAGGUCAGAGGGGGGUAGAAUUCCACGUGUAGCAGUGAAAUGCGUAGAGAUGUGGAGGAAUAUCAAUGGCGAAGGCAGCCCCCGGGAUCAUAUUACGCUCAUGCACGAAA
rnacentral:rRNA from 1 species